rnacentral:rRNA from 1 species
AACGAACGCUGGCGGCAUGCCUAACACAUGCAAGUCGAACGAGAUCUUCGGGUCUAGUGGCGCACGGGUGCGUAACGCGUGGGAAUCUGCCCUUUGGUUCGGAGUAACAGUUGGAAACGACUGCUAAUACCGGAUGAUGACGAAAGUCCAAAGAUUUAUCGCCAGAGGAUGAGCCCGCGUAGGAUUAGCUAGUUGGUGUGGUAAAGGCGCACCAAGGCGACGAUCCUUAGCUGGUCUGAGAGGAUGAUCAGCCACACUGGGACUGAGACACGGCCCAGACUCCUACGGGAGGCAGCAGUGGAGAAUAUUGGACAAUGGGCGAAAGCCUGAUCCAGCAAUGCCGCGUGAGUGAUGAAGGCCUUAGGGUUGUAAAGCUCUUUUACCCGGGAUGAUAAUGACAGGACCGGGAGAAUAAGCUCCGGCUAACUCCGUGCCAGCCGCCGCCGUAAAAC